GACGAACGCUGGCGGCGUGCUUAACACAUGCAAGUCGAACGCUGAAGCCCAGCUUGCUGGGUGGAUGAGUGGCGAACGGGUGAGUAACACGUGAGUAACCUGCCCCCUUCUUUGGGAUAACGCCCGGAAACGGGUGCUAAUACUGGAUAUUCACUGAUCUUCGCAUGGGGGUUGGUGGAAAGGUUUUUUCUGGUGGGGGAUGGGCUCGCGGCCUAUCAGCUUGUUGGUGGGGUGAUGGCCUACCAAGGCUUUGACGGGUAGCCGGCCUGAGAGGGUGACCGGUCACAUUGGGACUGAGAUACGGCCCAGACUCCUACGGGAGGCAGCAGUGGGGAAUAUUGCACAAUGGGCGAAAGCCUGAUGCAGCGACGCCGCGUGAGGGAUGACGGCCUUCGGGUUGUAAACCUCUUUCGCUCAUGGUCAAGCCGCAACUGUGGGUUGUGGUGAGGGUAGUGGGUAAAGAAGCGCCGGCUAACUACGCGCCAGCAGCCGCGGUAAUACGUAGGGCGCGAGCGUUGUCCGGAAUUAUUGGGCGUAAAGGGCUUGUAGGCGGUUGGUCGCCUCUGCCGUGAAAUCCCACUAGUUAUUGGCAGCGUCCGUUGGGUAUUCGGCGACUUUCUGGGGUGGGGGGAUGGACUACUCGUGUGCGACCCAACUCCACACAUCUAGAGGAUCAACCGGGGGAAUGGGGGGACUCCGGAGGCCUCAUCCGAGGAAGGAAGCGGGGGUGGAUCAAACUGAGUCAGUGUAAUCAACGUGAAUCUACCUGGUGGUGCGCUCUUCCGGCCGUGCUGGGGGGUUGGUUUUUUUUUUUUGAUUUAGUUCUUUUGUGCCUCUUCCCCUCCCCCCCCCAUAUAGGAUUGAUAUC
rnacentral:rRNA from 1 species